UACGAAGGGGGCUAGCGUUGCUCGGAAUCACUGGGCGUAAAGGGCGCGUAGGCGGCGUUUUAAGUCGGGGGUGAAAGCCUGUGGCUCAACCACAGAAUGGCCUUCGAUACUGGGACGCUUGAGUAUGGUAGAGGUUGGUGGAACUGCGAGUGUAGAGGUGAAAUUCGUAGAUAUUCGCAAGAACACCGGUGGCGAAGGCGACGUCCUGGACCGGCAUUGACGCUGAGGCGCGAAAGCUAGGGGAGCAAACGGG
rnacentral:rRNA from 1 species